GAUGAACGCUGGCGGCGUGCCUAAUACAUGCAAGUCGAGCGAACAGAUGAGGAGCUUGCUCCUCUGACGUUAGCGGCGGACGGGUGAGUAACACGUGGAUAACCUACCUAUAAGACUGGGAUAACUUCGGGAAACCGGAGCUAAUACCGGAUAAUAUAUUGAACCGCAUGGUUCAAUAGUGAAAGACGGUUUUGCUGUCACUUAUAGAUGGAUCCGCGCCGCAUUAGCUAGUUGGUAAGGUAACGGCUUACCAAGGCAACGAUGCGUAGCCGACCUGAGAGGAUGAUCAGCCACACUGAGACUGAGACACGGUCCAGACUCCUACGGGAGGCAGCAUUGGGGAAUGUUGGACAAUGGGCGCAGGCCUGAACCAGCCAUACCGCGUGGGUGAAGAAGGCCUUCGGGUUGUAAAGCGCUUUUGUUGGGAAAGAAAAGCAGCAGGUUAAUACCCCGCUGUUCUGACGGUACCCAAAGAAUAAGCACCGGCUAACUUCGUG
rnacentral:rRNA from 1 species